rnacentral:rRNA from 1 species
UACGUAGGGGGCUAGCGUUGUCCGGAAUCAUUGGGCGUAAAGCGCGUGUAGGCGGUCCGGUAAGUCCGCUGUGAAAGUCGGGGGCUCAACCCUCGGAUGCCGGUGGAUACUGUCGGGCUAGAGUGCGGAAGGGGCAACUGGAAUUCUUGGUGUAGCGGUGAAAUGCGUAGAUAUCAAGAGGAACACCUGAGGUGAAGACGGGUUGCUGGGCCGACACGUGACGCUGACAGCGCGAAAGCCAGGGGAGCAAACGGGAU